rnacentral:rRNA from 1 species
GGCCUAACACAUGCAAGUCGAGCGGUAACAGAUCCAGCUUGCUGGAUGCUGACGAGCGGCGGACGGGUGAGUAAUGCAUAGGAAUCUGCCCGAUAGUGGGGGAUAACCUGGGGAAACCCAGGCUAAUACCGCAUACGUCCUACGGGAGAAAGGGGGCUCCGGCUCCCGCUAUGGGAUGAGCCUAUGUCGGAUUAGCUAGUUGGUGAGGUAACGGCUCACCAAGGCCACGAUCCGUAGCUGGUCUGAGAGGAUGAUCAGCCACAUCGGGACUGAGACACGGCCCGAACUCCUACGGGAGGCAGCAGUGGGGAAUAUUGGACAAUGGGGGAAACCCUGAUCCAGCCAUGCCGCGUGUGUGAAGAAGGCCCUCGGGUUGUAAAGCACUUUCAGCGAGGAAGAACGCCUAGCGGUUAAUACCCGCUAGGAAAGACAUCACUCGCAGAAGAAGCACCGGCUAACUCCGUGCCAGCAGCCGCGGUAAUACGGAGGGUGCAAGCGUUAAUCGGAAUUACUGGGCGUAAAGCGCGCGUAGGUGGCUUGAUAAGCCGGUUGUGAAAGCCCCGGGCUCAACCUGGGAACGGCAUCCGGAACUGUCAAGCUAGAGUGCAGGAGAGGAAGGUAGAAUUCCCGGUGUAGCGGUGAAAUGCGUAGAGAUCGGGAGGAAUACCAGUGGCGAAGGCGGCCUUCUGGACUGACACUGACACUGAGGUGCGAAAGCGUGGGUAGCAAACAGGAUUAGAUACCCUGGUAGUCCACGCCGUAAACGAUGUCGACCAGCCGUUGGGUGCCUAGCGCACUUUGUGGCGAAGUUAACGCGAUAAGUCGACCGCCUGGGGAGUACGGCCGCAAGGUUAAAACUCAAA